rnacentral:rRNA from 1 species
AUCAGCCCAUUAAGUUAUGUGUGUUUUAGUGGAACGCUCUGGGAAGUGCGAACGUAGAGGGUGAUAUUCCCGUACACGAAAGGGCACACAUAAUGAUGACGAGUAGGGCGAGGCACGUGAAACCUUGUCUGAAUAUGGGGGGACCAUCCUCCAAGGCUAAAUACUCCUGACUGACCGAUAGUGAACCAGUACCGUGAGGGAAAGGCGAAAAGAACCCCUGUGAGGGGAGUGAAAUAGAUCCUGAAACCGCAUGCAUACAAGCAGUGGGAGCACCUUCGUGGUGUGACUGCGUACCUUUUGUAUAAUGGGUCAGCGACUUAUAUUCAGUAGCGAGGUUAACCGUAUAGGGGAGCCGUAGAGAAAUCGAGUCUUAAUAGGGCGUUUAGUUGCUGGGUAUAGACCCGAAACCAGGCGAUCUAUCCAUGAGCAGGUUGAAGGUUGGGUAACACUAACUGGAGGACCGAACCCACUGUCGUUGAAAAGCCAGGGGAUGACUUGUGGAUAGGGGUGAAAGGCUAAUCAAGCCUGGUGAUAGCUGGUUCUCCCCGAAAGCUAUUUAGGUAGCGCCUCGGACGAAUACCAUAGGGGGUAGAGCACUGUUUCGGCUAGGGGGUCAUCCCGACUUACCAAACCGAUGCAAACUCCGAAUACCUAUGAGUACUAUCCGGGAGACAGACUGCGGGUGCUAACGUCCGUAGUCAAGAGGAAAACAAUCCAGACCGCCAGCUAAGGCCCCAAAAUCAUAGUUAAGUGGGAAACGAUGUGGGAAGGCAUAGACAGCUAGGAGGUUGGCUUAGAAGCAGCCACCCUUUAAAGAAAGCGUAAUAGCUCACUAGUCGAGUCGGCCUGCGCGGAAGAUGUAACGGGGCUAAAACUAUGUGCCGAAGCUGCGGAUGUAUACUUUGUAUACGUGGUAGGGGAGCGUUCUGUAAGCCGAUGAAGGUGUGUUGAGAAGCAUGCUGGAGGUAUCAGAAGUGCGAAUGCUGACGUGAGUAACGACAAAACGGGUGAAAAACCCGUUCGCCGAAAGACCAAGGGUUCCAGUCCAACGUUAAUCGGGGCUGGGUGAGUCGACCCCUAAGGCGAGGCCGAAAGGCGUAGUCGAUGGGAAAAUGGUUAAUAUUCCAUUACUUCUGUGUAAUGCGAUGAGAGGACGGAGAAGGCUAAAUCAGCCUGGCGUUGGUUGUCCAGGUGAAAGGAUGUAGGCAUGUAUCUUAGGCAAAUCCGGGGUACUCUAUGCUGAGAUCUGAUAGCAAGCUGUACUUGUACAGCGAAGUGGUUGAUGCCAUGCUUCCAGGAAAAGUCUCUAAGCUUCAGUUACACAGGAAUCGUACCCGAAACCGACACAGGUGGUCAGGUCGAGUAGACCAAGGCGCUUGAGAGAACUCUGCUGAAGGAACUAGGCAAAAUGGUACCGUAACUUCGGGAGAAGGUACGCUGUUGUUGGUGAUGGAACUCGCUUCCUGAGCUGACGACAGCCGCAGAAACCAGGCCGCUGCAACUGUUUAUUAAAAACAUAGCACUCUGCAAACACGAAAGUGGACGUAUAGGGUGUGAUGCCUGCCCGGUGCUGGAAGGUUAAUUGAUGGGGUUAGCGUAAGCGAAGCUCUUGAUCGAAGCCCCAGUAAACGGCGGCCGUAACUAUAACGGUCCUAAGGUAGCGAAAUUCCUUGUCGGGUAAGUUCCGACCUGCACGAAUGGCAUAAUGAUGGCGGCGCUGUCUCCAGCAGAGGCUCAGUGAAAUCGAAAUCGCUGUGAAGAUGCAGUGUACCCGCGGCUAGACGGAAAGACCCCGUGAACCUUUACUGCAGCUUGACACUGAACUUUGACCUUACUUGUGUAGGAUAGGUGGGAGGCUUUGAAGCUGGAACGCUAGUUCCAGUGGAGCCGUCCUUGAAAUACCACCCUGGUAAUGUUGAGGUUCUAACUCUGUCCCGUGAUCCGGGACGAGGACCGUGUCUGGUGGGUAGUUUGACUGGGGCGGUCUCCUCCUAAAGAGUAACGGAGGAGUACGAAGGUGCGCUCAGCGUGGUCGGAAAUCACGCGUAGAGUAUAAAGGCAAAAGCGCGCUUAACUGCGAGACCCACAAGUCGAGCAGGUACGAAAGUAGGUCUUAGUGAUCCGGUGGUUCUGUAUGGAAGGGCCAUCGCUCAACGGAUAAAAGGUACUCUGGGGAUAACAGGCUGAUACCGCCCAAGAGUUCAUAUCGACGGCGGUGUUUGGCACCUCGAUGUCGGCUCAUCUCAUCCUGGGGCUGAAGCAGGUCCCAAGGGUAUGGCUGUUCGCCAUUUAAAGAGGUACGCGAGCUGGGUUUAGAACGUCGUGAGACAGUUCGGUCCCUAUCUACCGUGGGCGCUGGAAAUUUGAGAGGAUCUGCUCCUAGUACGAGAGGACCAGAGUGGACGAACCUCUGGUGUACCGGUUGUGACGCCAGUCGCAUCGCCGGGUAGCUAUGUUCGGAAGGGAUAACCGCUGAAAGCAUCUAAGCGGGAAGCCUACCUCAAGAUAAGAUUUCCCUAGGACUUUAUGUCCUCUAAAGAGCCGUUCGAGACUAGGACGUUGAUAGGUUGGAUGUGGAAGCAUAGUGAUAUGUGAAGCUGACCAAUACUAAUUGCUCGUGAGGCUUGACUAU